rnacentral:rRNA from 1 species
GACGAACGCUGGCGGCGUGCUUAACACAUGCAAGUCGAACGGAAAGGCCCUGCUUUUGUGGGGUGCUCGAGUGGCGAACGGGUGAGUAACACGUGAGUAACCUGCCCUUGACUUUGGGAUAACUUCAGGAAACUGGGGCUAAUACCGGAUAGGAGCUCCUGCUGCAUGGUGGGGGUUGGAAAGUUUCGGCGGUUGGGGAUGGACUCGCGGCUUAUCAGCUUGUUGGUGGGGUAGUGGCUUACCAAGGCUUUGACGGGUAGCCGGCCUGAGAGGGUGACCGGCCACAUUGGGACUGAGAUACGGCCCAGACUCCUACGGGAGGCAGCAGUGGGGAAUAUUGCACAAUGGGCGGAAGCCUGAUGCAGCAACGCCGCGUGCGGGAUGACGGCCUUCGGGUUGUAAACCGCUUUCGCCUGUGACGAAGCGUGAGUGACGGUAAUGGGUAAAGAAGCACCGGCUAACUACGUGCCAGCAGCCGCGGUGAUACGUAGGGUGCGAGCGUUGUCCGGAUUUAUUGGGCGUAAAGGGCUCGUAGGUGGUUGAUCGCGUCGGAAGUGUAAUCUUGGGGCUUAACCCUGAGCGUGCUUUCGAUACGGGUUGACUUGAGGAAGGUAGGGGAGAAUGGAAUUCCUGGUGGAGCGGUGGAAUGCGCAGAUAUCAGGAGGAACACCAGUGGCGAAGGCGGUUCUCUGGGCCUUUCCUGACCCUGAGGAGCGAAAGCGUGGGGAGCGAACAGGCUUAGAUACCCUGGUAGUCCACGCUGUAAACGGUGGGUACUAGGUGUGGGGUCCAUUCCACGGGUUCCGUGCCGUAGCUAACGCUUUAAGUACCCCGCCUGGGGAGUACGGCCGCAAGGCUAAAACUCAAAGGAAUUGACGGGGCCCCGCACAAGCGGCGGAGCAUGCGGAUUAAUUCGAUGCAACGCGUAGAACCUUACCUGGGUUUGACAUGGAUCGGGAGCGCUCAGAGAUGGGUGUGCCUCUUUUGGGGUCGGUUCACAGGUGGUGCAUGGCUGUCGUCAGCUCGUGUCGUGAGAUGUUGGGUUAAGUCCCGCAACGAGCGCAACCCUUGUUCACUGUUGCCAGCACGUUAUGGUGGGGACUCAGUGGAGACCGCCGGGGUCAACUCGGAGGAAGGUGGGGAUGACGUCAAGUCAUCAUGCCCCUUAUGUCCAGGGCUUCACGCAUGCUACAAUGGCUGGUACAGAGAGUGGCGAGCCUGUGAGGGUGAGCGAAUCUCGGAAAGCCGGUCUCAGUUCGGAUUGGGGUCUGCAACUCGACCUCAUGGAGUCGGAGUCGCUAGUAAUCGCAGAUCAGCAACGCUGCGGUGAAUACGUUCCCGGGGCU